CUUACAGAGAGCACGUCUACAUUUGUGUUUUUCUAACAAACUACUUUUUUUUUUUUUUAAUCAUGCUACAAAUAUAUAAUUUUUUGACAGAAAAAUCUUACAAAUACAUGGUACGAUAUCAUUGGAAGAUGAAAAAAAAAAAAAAAAAAAACAAUCCACUCACAUUUUCCCAAGUCAAAAAAUGCACGUUAUUGAUCUUUUACCUUUUGUAACGCUAUUCUCAGAUAAAUUGCUUCAAGUUUACAUUUCGAGCCGUGAUAACGAGAAUGCAUUUUCAAGAACGAAAUCCAAGACACCAAAAUCUGCAUUAUCAACCCCUAAAAUCGUCGUUUUUAAAGAAUUAGAAAAUAUAAUUCAUCACUCCUGUGAUUUUUUCUGUACGCAUCCAUAUUCAUUGCCUAUGUAAUGUAUCUUUCCCAAUUUGGAGGUGGAUCUAUCAGAUUACUUUCUAUCGUUCCCUUUCUGGGUUUGAUCCAAUUUCUUCAAUGGAGAACGAUAAUGAUGAAUACUCCCAAGAGUUGAAUGUGGUUGUCAGGGUCGUCCACAUGGCUUGUUCCCAGUGCCAAAAGGUGAAGAAGCAAUUGCUUUCCUCAAACAAUUCCAAUCAGAUUAAGUCCAAGGAUGAUGAUUCUCUUGUUACUGUUGCCGGUACUUUAUGCCUUUUCUUUUCUCUUCUUUUCUCGUAUUGGGUGUUUGCAUUUUUUUUUCUUUUUCUAUUUUUUUUUCUG
rnacentral:lncRNA from 1 species